UGGUUGCAUGAAGGAGCUUGGGUUGUACACACAUUUGGGAUUAGAAAGACCUUGUUAGCAGAAAUACUAGUUAUUAACCUGCAUUGAGCUAUCUAUUUUUUGCCGUCUCUCUUCAUCACUAGAGUAAUUCUACCCUUUUUUGAGUAUUGAAAUCCUUGUCAUGCUAUUUGGGUUCCCUUUUUGCAGGUGCAACCUGGUCUUUCUGCACUUGAAGAUGCAAUGGAGGUAGGAUAUGAAGAUUUCAAGAUAGCGUCGAAAUAGUGAUUGGCGGGACUUCUGAUCAAACUAGAUGCAAUUUUUGCAUUUGGGGCGGUGUGGAAACUGAACCACAUAAAGCAUGCUUCUAUUUCUUGCCUUUCCAACUCAGAAGUAAGAGAUGUAUGGUUUUGGCUAUUGAAGGGAACACGUAUGGCCUGCAUUUUUAGCUUUUCACGCCAUUAUGUGAUCAUAUUGCAUCCACCAGGCUGCCACUAGAAUCUUGGCCCGUCAACUCGUCCGUCUGAGGCAGCAAAUCACCAACUUGCAAGGGAGUCGUGCACAGAUCAGAGGGUAGCAACUCAUACACAGGUCUGAAUUUCUAACAACAACACAGCGUGGUUAAUUCUCUGUAAUUGGCUUUCAUUUAUCUGCUUCUAUAAACAGCAUUUGAUUUUAUUUUUAUUUUAUCUUUUCAGGCCAUGUAUGCUAGUACUUAUCGUAAAGGAAUGAAAGGUGCAAGCAAAGCAAUGGCAACUAUGAAUAAACGAAUGGCACCAGCAAAGCAGGCCAAAGUGAUGCAAGAAUUCCAGAAGCAGUCAGCACAAAUGGACAUGACGGUAAUUUUUGUUGAUACUAAUUCCUACUCGAGCUUUCAAUACUCAUUAUAUUUAUUAGCUUACACU